rnacentral:pre_miRNA from 1 species
ACACAAUCGGCGAGCGGUUUUCACUGUGAUCUGAGAGUUCAUACUUCUGAGAUCAUUGUGAAGGCCACUUGCCUUGUGCCG